UGGAACCACGUGGACUCGGAUUUACUGA
rnacentral:sRNA from 1 species